CCUACGGGUGGCAGCAGUGGGGAAUAUUGGACAAUGGGCGAAAGCCUGAUCCAGCAAUGCCGCGUGAGUGAUGAAGGCCUUAGGGUUGUAAAGCUCUUUUACCAGGGAUGAUAAUGACAGUACCUGGAGAAUAAGCUCCGGCUAACUCCGUGCCAGCAGCCGCGGUAAGACGGAGGGAGCUAGCGUUGUGCGGAAUUACUGGGCGUAAAGCGCACGUAGGCGGUUUUUCAAGUCAGGGGUGAAAGCCCGGCGCUCAACUCCGGAAUUGCCCUUUAAACUGGAUGACUAGACUCUUGGAGAGGUCAGUGGAAUUCCGAGUGUAGAGGUGAAAUUCGUAGAUAUUCGGAAGAACACCAGUGGCGAAGGCGACUGACUGGACAAGUAUUGACGCUGAGGUGCGAAAGCGUGGGGCGCAAACAGGAUUAGAUACCCCGGUAGUC
rnacentral:rRNA from 1 species